rnacentral:rRNA from 1 species
UACGUAGGUGGCAAGCGUUAUCCGGAAUUAUUGGGCGUAAAGCGCGCGCAGGUGGUUUCUUAAGUCUGAUGUGAAAGCCCACGGCUCAACCGUGGAGGGUCAUUGGAAACUGGGAGACUUGAGUGCAGAAGAGGAAAGUGGACUUCCAUGUGUAGCGGUGAAAUGCGUAGAGAUAUGGAGGAACACCAGUGGCGAAGGCGACUUUCUGGUCUGUAACUGACACUGAGGCGCGAAAGCGUGGGGAGCAAACAGG